rnacentral:misc_RNA from 1 species
GUAAUUUUUUCCACCAGAAAUGCAUUUUGAUAUUAUGUUUGAUUAGCUUCGCAGGUACUAAAUGAGAUCGUUUUCUAACGACCUAAUUAUCCCCUAACGAUCCGAUUGUUAGGGAUUUGCUUGACGUUUGAGUUACGACAAAACAAAUACUCUCCGAAAGGUCCCAGGCUUGCUUUUGAGGAUUUUUGUGCAAGAAAUUACAUAAAUUUA